GAGCUGCACCCUCUGCCUUAUGAAGGGCCACACGGACCCUCCACUCUACAACAAACUUGAUGUAUAUUCUGGCCUUUAAUCUUCACAAUCCCUCAGGAGUCUUCCCAGCUGAGACCCUGAUCAUCGAGAAGCAGAGGAGAGCCUGCCCCCACACCCCACCAUGCCCUUUCUGAAUUCCUGACCCAUGAAUUCCUGAGCACAAUAAGGAAGUAUAUUGUGCCGUGACGCAGCCUGACACAGAAAAAGAUGCUUAAAUAUAAGUAGAAGCCCAACAUUUUAAGAGGACAUCCCAGCUCUAGACACCAAGACCAAACCUGCAGAGACUCACCUAGAAAGCACCUGCCUUUCGAGGGACCUCGCCCUCCGCUGGCUGCGCAGGGAGUGACUGUCCCUGAUUUGAACUGCUCCCGUAUCCACCCCAGGCCUCUGCAGGAGACUGUUCUGGAGCCUGCCUGACUUCGUCCUCUCAGAGAACACUCACCCAACAGCAAGGUACAGCUCAGUUUCCUUUUCCACAGGACCUUUGAACGGAGGGAUAGGGAACCUGGGCUCAGUCCCUGAUACUUGAGGGAGCUGGGAACUCCUUGUCAUUUGGGCUGCGAGCUGUCACGAGGAAGGAGAGCGCUGCUCUGCAGAGUGAAGCCAGAGGGAUCCUCCUGGACUGUGGACAAAGACCAUAAGCGGAGCAGAAAGAAAAGACUAAACAGCCCUGAGGACGGCCUGGGAGCUAGAGACACUGCUGCUCUUAGCUCUCCAAAGGUGUCCACUCGCGGUCCCUGCCGUGGGAAAGCCUCCACCCAGCCUUCAUCAGACCCUGUGUCACCUUAUCAGAUCUCAGGAGUGUUUAAUGUAUGUCGGGAAGGUGUUCAUGAAGUAAAAUGACCAGAGGAAGUUCUGGAAUCCCUGAGAAGAAUUUUACAGCGUUAGCUUUUUCACUUGUUCUUUAGCUUUUUCUUCCAUGCCAUAUUUUCUCAACUUUGGGUUGAAAUGUAAUAAGUUGUGUUACACAUGUAAAUUUUUGACGUGUUGUUCACACCAGUAUUGAACAGACAGUUGUUUCGCAUGUACAGUGAACCGUACUUUUCAUAAGAACACAAUUGUGGGAGAGGGACCACCUUCAACCUAGAGUCCCCUAAAGCCAAGUUCCCAGGGGAUUGCCUCACCCCAUAAGCUCUUCUGUUCAUCUUAUUUAUGUUCAUUGACAUUAUGUAAUAUUCCAUUAUACUUGUUGGUAUAAAGAUGAUAAUCCAUGGUUCCAGCCUCUGAGGGGCUCAUGGGGACAGACAUGGCCUGCAAUGGGCCAACUUAGUAGAGGUACAAGUGUCAAUGGAGCACAGAACAGGGAGGAAGUACAUCUGUCCCCACAGAAUGUCAGCCGGGCAUUGAAGGGUGAGCAGGAGUUGGCAGGAAAACUAAAAUAACAGAGUUAGUCAAGGCUGGAGAAAGAGGUGCAGGACCCUUGGGUCAGAGACGGCCCUGAAGGCCAUGGAACUAGAUGAGUCACCUGGGCAGACUAUGUGGACAGAGAAGAGCAGCAGGCCCAGGAUGAUCUCUGGGCCACUGCAAUAGUCACAGGCCACACAGGAGAAGAAGGGCCACCCAAAGACGCUGGAAGGAGAGGCACAACACUAUGGAGGCCAUGGGAGAAAUCUUUCCAGGAAGGAGGGUGCACUCCCCGAAGCUGCUGAGGGUCAGGUAAGGUAAGAACUGAGAUGGGGCCAUGCGGAUGUGGCAGCAUGGAGGUCAUUGGUGAAGAGGGAAAGGCCGUUCUGCAAUAUGUUUAGGAGAAAUGUAAGAUUAGGAGGUAGACACAACACGCAUAGACACUUCUUUCCAGAAGAGUUGCCAAAAAGAAGAGGAGGGUGUAGAGGGAAGUGUGGGGAUGAAAAAGGAAUUGUUUAAGAGUUGUGAAUGAUCUAGUAGAGAGGGAGACAUUGAUGCUUCAUGUAAAAGAGAGAAAAAUAGGAGAAGGCGAAUCCUAGAGAAUCUGAGAGUGGAUGGGGUGAGCAAACAGGUAGAGGGAUGGCGCUUUGAAAAGGUUAGAAGCACGCCAUAUACAGCAACAGAAGGGCAAGAGAGUGAGCCAAGGAGCAGGCAAGGUGGUGGAGUUACAGGGCAAGCAAACUCUCUGCUUCUAUUUCCCCACAGAAGUAUGAGGCAGGGUCAACAGGCGAGAGUGGGAGGUCAGGGAGACGAGAUUUAUGAAGCUGGAGGAGAGUGGAAAAUAUGGGGAGAACAUUUCUGGCAAGGUGCUGGUGGCUUGGUGUGUGAUUAUUCAUUUAAAGUGAGAUCAAUCUUCAUGGCAGUGUUUUUCCACAUUUCCAAAUAGCCACCCAGAUGUGAUGCCACCAAAGCAACUUAUUCCUGCAAGUACAAAGAAGGGAGGGGCGAGUGAACCCGAGGCACUUGCAAUGACAGAGCUGGAAUCCUGGACUGUGGAGUCCAAGGUUGAUCAGAGAAAUGAGAGUAUUCAUUCAAAUCAUUCCACAGAAAUUUAUUAAGCAUCUCCCAUGAGCUAGGGAUUCUUCUAGGUUCUGGCAUACAGUGAUGAAUUCUAUGCCCUCACAGAGUUUCUAAUGAGGGUAAAAUAAUUAAAUAAAUAGUACAGUGUCAGCAGGUAAGAAACACAAGAAGAAAAAUAAGCCAGGGUAGGGAGUUAGGGGAGCCAGGGUGGAUUCCCGUUUAUAUAGGAUGUCAGGGAAGACCUCUCGGAUACAGUGAUGUUGGAUCAGUGGACUGAAAGAAAUGAGGGAAUGUGGAUGUGAAUGUCAGUUGAGGGGCAGUUAGCAAUUAGUGGAGGGGGUAGGGAGGGAAGAGGAGAAAGUGAGCAAUGGUUAAAAAGUGGUAGUGGCAAUAGAUGGGAUGUCUUGAUGAGAUUCAAAUAUUGCACAAAACAGGGUGAGUUCUAAGGAUAAAGAGUGGCAGCCCCACAUUGGCAUCUCAAAGAAUUCAGAGUUCUUGGAAGUGAUGAUGUCAAGCUAUUGACUAUGGGAAUGGGUGGUCAAGACAAAAUAAAAUAAAUAAAUAUUAACUAUUUAAAUUAAUAAAUAGUUUUUUCAAUUUAUAAAAAAUAAGCAUUAUUGGAGGUGAGAAAGUCAAAGCCAAGGGUGCUGAAUGGAUUCUCCACAUGGAUGCUGAAAUUGCCGAGGACUGGGAUGGGAUAGGGGAGGGAAGGAAGAAAGGCAGUGAGCAGGUCCUACAGUCACUAGGAGUGAGGAAGAAAGAUGGUGGAGGACAAGAAGGAGGGGUGAGGUGUGAGGAGCUCAGGCUUCAAAGGAGCUGGAAAUUUGGAAGGGAGGGAGAAUGGAUGAGAAACAGUUAAGUGGGAGCAAGGAGGACACAGAAAUAUGUUGGGUAUGAAGAAAGAAAGGGCCUUGCUUAUGUGGACUUCAGGGAAAGCAAAGGCAUUAAGGGGCAGCCAAGCUUCAGUUAAGACAGAAAGGUGAAGGAUGUGUGCAGAGAGGAGCUUGAAGACAGAGGACAGACUGCUGUUGUUGUUAGACCUGGACUUCCUAGGGGCACAGUGGGAGGCCCAGGUCCCUCAAGACAAGGACACAUGUGGCAGUGAGGAUUGAGGGAUGUUGGAUGCUGAGGGUGGCUUGUGUUUCUGGAGAUGGCCAGGGAAGCAGGGAUGGGGGACAUUAUAGGAUUUGUCCUGAUCAUCUCUUCACGGAAGGAGAUAAAAACGUUGAUUCUGGAUGGUAUGGGGCUACUGGUGGCUGUCUUCUCCUGCAGCUGCCUGUGCCAAUGUGCCUAAGGCCUUCCCUUCACUACGGGCUGCUCUCUCAAACAAUGGGAUGCCUGUGGUGCUGCCAGGCUCUGCUGUCUAAUGGCACAGGGGCACAACUGCACAGUGGAGUGGUCCUGCAGGAGCACACACCCAAGGAGGGAGGUCCUACAGGAAAGGUUUUCAAAAUGACGUCUUGCCUGGGCUUUGGCCCCAAGCAUCAGAAGGCAUUAGCCAGGCAUCAAGUGUUGCAGGCAAAGGGAAGAACAUGUGUAAAGACAUAAACUCCUGAAAUGCCAAGGGCUGCAACAAUCCACAAUCAAUUUGAUGUCAUCAGAGCAGACGUUGAGAGGUGAGUCCAGGGUGCUGAGGGGGGCAGCAGUCACCUAAUAAGAUAAGGUUCAGAGAGCCCCUAACAUAGAGUCAGGAACAAGGUAAGCACGUCACACACCUGGUUUCUCUCCUCCUAUUUUCCUCAUUGUAGUGUCAUUUCAGGUCUGAGACUAAGAAGGGACACUGUUCGUCCUUGCCCUACGCCUGAUGGAUGCCUGGUGAGGAUCAAAGCAGACAGCAUAUGUUGUUAUGGACUGACCAUUUGUGUCCCCUCAAAGUUCACAUGUUGAAGCCCUAAUCUCCAGUGUGAUGGUGUUUGG